GUUUGGGUUUGGCUGAGACGAGCAGUUUCCAUGGUUUUUGCAAUUUCUGUUGUAGCAACGAAGCUCCUUAUGCAAUGGAAGGGCUGGGAAGCGUGUGGUCCUCCGGCGAGCCGCGGACGAAGAGGGACGGGGGGAACUGGGGCAGCCCGGAUGGGGGACAGGGCUUAUCCCAAGGUGAUUAACACUGACCUGACUCUGUGACCCUUGCUGGGGACAGCACGCUCGGCAUGGGUUGGAGUGAGGGGAUUGUGCCCUGGGACUCAUCUGUGUCCCCGCCCCAUGCCUGCCUCCUCCUCUUCCUCCUCAUUGCUUCCAGCAGAGGUUUGAGAUGAACAUCUUCUUCAGAGGUGCUUGGGUGUCCUGGUCUUGCAAGCGGCCAGUGUGUGCCUGGAAGACCUGCAUCCAUCCAGCAUCGCUUCGAGGGUGCUUGUGUCUUACCAGUGAGGUGCACGACACUGUGGAGGUGACAUCUGAGGUGUGCAGGGACCUGCUCGAGACCACCACCAUGUUCAGGACACCAUCUCCAUGCAUGCCCACCUAUGAGUGUGGCAGGGCUGUAGACCCACAGAGCUGCUGAAUAACAGAUUUCCACAGGCUGGCCCAUAGACUGUUAACACAUUAAUUAAAAGAAGAAAAGGGACUCGGUCCCAUUAAGCUCACCAUCUGUUUUAAUUAUCCACUAAAGCUCACAGAAAGCUCUGUACACACUAUAAUUGCAUAAUUAAAAUGAACUGUUGGGAGAUAGAUGGCACAGAGAUGACUGGGGAGAGAAAAGCAGUCCUUGCUCCUAUUCUGCUGUCACGAGCAUCGUAAUUAAGAGGGAGCAGCAAAGCAACACCUUUUUGGGCUGAGCUUGUCAUUGCAGAGUCCCUGUUGACUUCUGAUAGCUUUCUGAGGCCAACUGUGUAGUUUCCAGCCUGAGCAGAAGCGACAGCCAUCGUUAAACCCCACUUUGCUGAUAACUGUGAUGAAAGCCCCCCGUGCGGGUCCGAGACGGUCAAACGUUUCUGUGCAUCGCGAGCAAACUCUGCCAACCCCGAGUUGCCAGCCCAACUCACCGCCUGGAUGCAUCUCACCCUGUUGCAGAUAAAACCGACUGUGUCGGAGCUCCUCGCCUGUCUUGUGCCCGUGGGUGGGGGGAGCCCAGCGGAGCCAAGGGAGUUUAUUUGGCAGCUCCCAAAAUCAGGUCGCCAGUUCAUUCAAAAGGAGCAUGUCCAAAGCCUGGCUGGUUGCUCUUGGACAUAAAGCAGGCUGACUUGUUCUCAUGGCAGAGGUUUUCAAAUCAAAAUAUUAGUCUUAAAAAGAAAGAAAGGGAAAAAAAAAAAAAAAAAAGUAUAACAAACUUCUUCCUGUGAAUAGCAGUGGGAAUUCUUCACAUUUUCUGUUUGUUUGAGUUUUUUUCUUUGUGAAGGGGUUUUUAUGCUUGUAUUAUUUAGCUGAUAUUCUCAUAUCAUCUUGCACCUUGUUUUUCCCAGAUCACUGCUCUUUCACAUUCCCUGCAAACCUGAACUCUGGGUUAAUACUUUUCUUUGCCAUUAAACUUCUGAUCUGCACUGAGAAAA